rnacentral:tRNA from 1 species
GAAAUAUGUAGAUCAAAUUAAAGCUUCUAACUUUUUAUUUUAACGAUUAAAUUUCGUUUAUAUUUCU